rnacentral:hammerhead_ribozyme from 1 species
AUCCAGUUGACAAGUCCAAAAUAGGACGAAACAUGUGUCCUCGAU